UACAGAGGUCUCGAGCGUUGUUCGGAUUCAUUGGGCGUAAAGGGUGCGUAGGUGGCAAGGUAAGUCGGAUGUGAAAUCUCGGGGCUCAACCCCGAAACUGCAUUCGAUACUGCCUGGCUAGAGUACUGGAGAGGAGAUUGGAAUUUACGGUGUAGCAGUGAAAUGCGUAGAUAUCAUGAGGAAUACCAGAGGCGAAGGCGACUACCUGGCUUGUUCUUGACGCUGAGGCGCAAAAGCUAGGGGAGCAAACGGG
rnacentral:rRNA from 1 species